rnacentral:rRNA from 1 species
GACGAACGCUGGCGGCGUGCCUAAUACAUGCAAGUAGGACGCACAGUUUAUACCGUAGCUUGCUACACCAUAGACUGUGAGUUGCGAACGGGUGAGUAACGCGUAGGUAACCUGCCUAUUAGAGGGGGAUAACUAUUGGAAACGAUAGCUAAUACCGCAUAACAGUAUGUAACACAUGUUAGAUGCUUGAAAGAUGCAAUUGCAUCGCUAGUAGAUGGACCUGCGUUGUAUUAGCUAGUAGGUAGGGUAAUGGCCUACCUAGGCGACGAUACAUAGCCGACCUGAGAGGGUGAUCGGCCACACUGGGACUGAGACACGGCCCAGACUCCUACGGGAGGCAGCAGUAGGGAAUCUUCGGCAAUGGGGGGAACCCUGACCGAGCAACGCCGCGUGAGUGAAGAAGGUUUUCGGAUCCUAAAGCUCUGUUGUUAAGGAAGAACGAGUGUGAAAAUGGAAAGUUCAUACUGUGACGGUACUUAACCAGAAAGGGACGGCUAACUACGUGCCAGCAGCCGCGGUAAUACGUAGGUCCCGAGCGUUGUCCGGAUUUAUUGGGCGUAAAGCGAGCGCAGGCGGUUAGAAAAGUCUGAAGUGAAAGGCAGUGGCUCAACCAUUGUAGGCUUUGGAAACUGUUUAACUUGAGUGCAGAAGGGGAGAGUGGAAUUCCAUGUGUAGCGGUGAAAUGCGUAGAUAUAUGGAGGAACACCAGUGGCGAAGGCGACUCUCUGGUCUGUAACUGACGCUGAGGCUCGAAAGCGUGGGUAGCAAACAGG